UGUGGGAGCGAGCUUGCUCGCGAUAGCGUCGGAUCAGCCGGCAUCCCUGUCGACUGACACACUGCUAUCGCGAGCAAGCUCGCUCCCACA
rnacentral:misc_RNA from 1 species